rnacentral:rRNA from 1 species
GAGAGCUUGCUCUCAUGAAAGUGGCGCACGGGUGAGUAACACGUGGAUAAUCUGCCUGGCGAUUCGGGAUAACACUUCGAAAGGGGUGCUAAUACCGGAUAAGCCCACGGUCUCUUUGGAGAGCGCGGGAAAAGGGGGCCUCUGUAUAUGCUCCUGUCGCUAGAUGAGUCCGCGGCCCAUUAGCUAGUUGGUAGGGUAAUGGCCUACCAAGGCUAUGACGCCUAGGGGAGCUGAGAGGCUGACCCCCACCGAUGGUACUGAGACACGGACCAUACACCUACGGGUGGCUGCAGUCGAGAAUCUUCCACAAUGGACGAAAGUCUGAUGGAGCGACGCCGCGUGAUUGAUGAAGUCCCUCUGGGACGUAAAGAUCUUUUAUGAGGGAAGAAGUUUAUUGACUGUACCUCAUGAAUAARAGGCUCCUAAUCUCGUGCCAGCAGCCGCGGUAAUAC